CACGCCGUAAACGAUGAGUACUAGGUGUAGGGGGUAUCGACCCCCCCUGUGCCGCAGUAAACACAAUAAGUACUCCGCCUGGGAAGUACGAUCGCAAGAUUAAAACUCAAAGGAAUUGACGGGGACCCGCACAAGCAGCGGAGCAUGUGGUUUAAUUCGAAGCAACGCGAAGAACCUUACCAAGGCUUGACAUAUAGAGGAAACGGCCAGAGAUGGUCGCCCCGCAAGGUCUCUAUACAGGUGG
rnacentral:rRNA from 1 species